CGAAAUAAUUUCGAUAUCUGACAAGUUCAAUUACAUAGGAGUGAUCUUGGAUAGGAAACUUAAUUGGAAGUGUGACAUUAAGGACAGCCUCUGCGUCCUGGUGACAGCCUCUGCGGCCAAUAGGGUCCCUUUUAGAUUCUCGUUUGUCCGUCCGUCUAGUCUUUGGGGUUUUCUGAUGUGCUGCUUUCUCAGCACCGUAAGGUCAACAUUGGCUGAUGGGCAAGGAAAUAUCCUCUACUAUCCACUACCUAACCUAACUAUGAGCUCAUGCUUAGGUUACUGUAUAGAACCCAACC
rnacentral:sRNA from 1 species